rnacentral:lncRNA from 1 species
CUGUUUUACCACAUUUUUGUUUUCUAUCGAAUUAGAUCCGAUAUAAUUAUUUGCAUGACCUUUAAUUGAUAUUUGUUAUCUCAAAAACUGCAAUCUCCAUUUGUUCAUUUUGAUCAGGCUAAUCUCAUGGCGCUUCACCAGGAAAAUGUUAUGUAAACUGUCUUUUUCAUAUUGGCUGAAGUUUGGCAAAUUAUGUUUCUGAUAUUGUCAAAGAUUGCAAAUAAACCUCAUGAUUGUUCCCUCGAACAGCUGAUUAGUCUGAUCUAGACCAAUUCAGCUCUGCAACGGCCAUGCAUUUGACGCCAAUAUUUCCAAAAUUUUUCCUCCUAAAUAUGUAAGUUGCCGACGGGUCGAGCAAAUAUCAUUGAUUUUGCCAAGAUAUCAAAGUGACUUUUAAUUCAUUAUGAAGCAUGAAAACUUGUUUUGAUACAACUAAUUGCAGAAUUUAACAUUCUGUGCUUAGAUUGAAUAUCACUUGGUCUCUCAUAUAUCCUCUGUGUGGUGAUAAGUUUUUUUUUUUUUUUUUUGUUGAGCUGAUCCACUUUUAUUCUUUGCAACUAUAGUUUUGCCUGAAGCUUGCAUUACUAGCUUCCUUGCCUUCUAACUAAGGAGAGUUUGAUGGCCGUAUGAUAUAUACUGAUGUGGGAUCGAAAUUUAUUUCAAAAAGGCACCUGUUGAUCCAGCUAAAAUUAAUUUCAGCGCUUUACCUUAAAUAGUCUGUCAGAAUCUUAUGACUCACUGCCUUUUUUUUCAGAAUGAUAGAAAUGGGGGUUAAUAAUUUCCCUGAAAUUUUCACACUGAAGGAAUAACGAAAGAUGUAAGCAUGCUAGUGUUCGGUAAUUUGUCCUUCUCAAUUCACUCCUUGAUGCUUGCGAUGGGUAUGAGAUGCUAUAAAUGUUUUGGCUCUUUUUAUGCGGGCACAAAUUAACCUAGAACCAAGUUUGUAUAUUAUGUUAAGGGCAGUUAUUUUAGUCAGAUCAAGAAUCAGAACAUCAAUUUCGAAUUUGACCAUAACGCUCAUAUCCUAUGUCUGCUGGGGGCAUGAUGAUAAUUUUUGUGCAAACAACUUUUGUCAACUUAUUACUUCCAAACAUGGGCAGUACCAAAAUGUAGAGGACAUAGGUUAGGGACGAAUUAGAAAUUUUCCUCAUUCCUUUUUAAUUUUACAAGAUUAUAUGAGGAUUUUACUUGCUUUUUCCUCCAUUUUCUUUCCCUCCCCAAAGAAACAGUAAAAAAGAAGGGAAUUCAAUCGCAUUUUCAAAAUGAGAAAAGCUGAGUUCAAAGAAUAAAAGCCAUGAGUGAUACAAUCCUUUCAAUCAUCUUGUAGGACAUAUGUUUUUACUAAAGUUUUUUUCAUGUUUCAGAUGGCUUGUGGAAUCCUAGUUUUGCAGCCAGCAUCAUUAACUAAAUUCACUGAAACGUGCAGAAUGGUACCAUCUUUUAUGCCUUUUUCCUAAGUACAGGUCAAACUAUCUAUAUAAUUGGAAGGAAAAGAAUAUGGUUGGAUACACUAGUGGAUAAUCUGGAGAGAGCACACUGAAUGAAGACAACUUCCACUGAGUCUGUUUUGUCAUUUGCUUCAAUACUUGGACUAGAACUCUCAAUGGAUAAUGAAAAUUGAUAACUUUGAUCAUAUACUUAUAAAAUGACAUUAACCAAUUGGAAAUAUUGAGGGUUCAUGUGUAAAUUUUAUAUUCCUUGGUAAUUGAUGGCCCAGAUCAAUGAACUGCACCAUGCUAUCCAGAAUUCAGUAGUCCAAAUAAUCUCAGCAUAGUAGGUUACCGUGAACAUGAUAUGGUAUUUUUCUCAGUAUUUUUUGGUGAAUGGUAUGAAAGCAGUGGAUGUCGAACCCAUGCACAUCCACAGGAGUAAAUGUUCUUACAAUGCACCUCCCAAGAGUCAUUUUAGUUGGGCUAAACAGCCAACUAGUAGUAGGCAUUGUACACCAGGAUUUAUGGUCCAUGAUGUGAUGGAAUUAAUUGUCAACUGUGAGAUCCCACGAGGACGAGAAAGCGGAUACAGUUUUUUCGGUGUGGUUUAGGAAUACUACGUAACUGGUUGAUGUCUUUUUGGACAAUGGCUUUAGACCAUGUAUUGCGCCUAUGGGCCCUAUGGAGCAGGUCACGUUCGUAGCGUUUUCCUCAACCUUGGGCAUGUCAUCUGGAUCAAUUGGCGACUGAUUAUUUAGUUUUCAGAUGGUCCUGUAAUCAAGGGAGAAAGAGAAUGAAGGAAAAAUUAACAAGAAUAAAAUUGGAGCUUUAUCACAUUCUUGGCUACAGCUUGUAUAGAUUCUUGUAAACUUCCUUUACAUUAUUUCUGACUUUCUUAUAUUCAGCGAGAUGAUUAACUUGUUGUC